AGCUCCAUUAGCGUAUAUUAAAGUUGUUGCAGUUAAAAAGCUCGUAGUUGGAUUUCGGUUCGGGUCGGGGCGGUGGCGUCGCGAGACGUCUACCUCCCGGCCAGUCUCUCUUCCCGAAGACUGCGUGUGCUCUUCAGUGGGUGCGCGUCGGGACUCGGGACGUUUACUUUGAAGAAAUUAGAGUGUUCAAAGCGGGCUCUUGAUAGCUCGGAUACUCGUACAUGGAAUAAUGGAAUAGGACCCUGGGUCAUUUCCGUUGGUCUAUGGCCAUUGGGUAAUGAUUAAAAGGGACUGCCGGGGGCAUUGGUAUGGUGGGGGGAGAGGUGAAAUUCAAUGAUCCUCGCCAGACCAACUACAGCGAAAGCAUUUGCCAAGAAUGUCUUCAUUAAUCAAGAACGAA
rnacentral:rRNA from 1 species